GCCUGCCCAGUGACAUUGUUCAACGGCCGCGGUAUCCUAACCGUGCGAAGGUAGCGUAAUCACUUGUUCUUUAAAUGAGGACUAGUAUGAAUGGCUUCACGAAGGCUAUACUGUCUCCCUUAUCCAAUCAGUAAAACUAAUCUCCCCGUGAAGAAGCGGGGAUUCACCUAUAAGACGAGAAGACCCUAUGGAGCUUUAAACGCCUUAAACACUUGAGUUUACACUUCUUCUAUCAGGGAUUUAAACUAAGCCCCUCAUUUUGUUUAAAGUUUUAGGUUGGGGUGACCACGGAGAACAAUCUAACCUCCACGUAGAAAGAGGCUCCCCUCUAAGCAAAAAGCUACAUCUUAAUGCAUCAAAAUAUUGACCUAAAUUGACCCAUUAUUUGAUCAACGAACCAAGUUACCCUAGGGAUAACAGCGCAAUCCGCUUUAAGAGCUCCUAUCGACAAGCGGGCUUACGACCUCGAUGUUGGAUCAGGGAAUCCCAGUGGUGUAGCAGCUACUAACGGUUCGUUUGUUCAACGAUUAAAACCCUACGUGAU
rnacentral:rRNA from 1 species